AAAAAUGUCUUUACUUCUUACAUUUUUGGGUUUGUUUGUGGUUACGACUGCCAAAUACCAAGACAAUCCUGGAGUUUGCAAUGUUUCAUAGGUGAAUAAGAAAAUGAGAUUGGGUUGCUGUGUGGAUUUUGAGGUAGUCAACGGUGACUGCAAGCCUUGUAUUGGACGACAUGGAGUGAACUGUACAUUCCCCUGUAGGUUUGGAUUCUUUGGAUUUGGAUGCCGUCAACUCUGUAACUGCUCCGACUGACAGGGAUGUGACCGACACACUGGCUGUUUUGAUAUCGCUGUUGACAAGAGCACAAAGUCUUACAGUGGAGAGAUCCUAGGGGCUGUAGGAGUUUUAUUUGGAAUCAUUUGUUCGUCUAUGGCAGGUGCUCUUACCAGGAGGUUCAAAUUGCAUUAUGAGAAGAAAUACACUACAAACAGGAACAACGUUAGGGAUGAGAAGACGAGUGUGGAAGCUCAAUCAAUUCAAGGGCAAUACCUUACUCCUAUUCCCCUGAAAGACAAGACGAUGACGUCAUCAAGUAACCUUGUUAAGAAACAGGGACGGACUAACCAAGACGAGACGACGGAAGACACAGCACUAGAGAGCGGGUACACGGAAAUUUCAGAUUAUCAACAACUAAAGGAAAGCAGGGCCAGAAUAGAACACCAGUAUGCAAAACUCAGAGACUCCUAAAUCAUCUUCGUAGUUUUAACUUUUCGGAUUACACUUUUUUAUUUUUAAAAAUAGAAUUUAAAGUUUGUCUUCAUAAUAACACAGGUUACUAAAAUCACAGUCACGAGGUAUUGUUUGAAAUCAUUCUUCAGUAUUCUUACGACCGCUUUAUAAACAAUUCAUAUACCGGAGUGACCUUUGGAAAAAAACUGGGAAUUUUUCUUUUAAAAUCUAAUCCUACAAUUUUUAAAACGAGAUAUAUCCAUUAUUAGAAAUAUUUAUUUAAUACAGAUAAAGAUUUGUGUGUUUAAAUAUUUGUAGUAAAUACAUUCCCUACUUUU